AUGCCCGCCCCUACUCCAGCCCGUGGGCGUGGUUCCCAGCGUCUGCGAAUUCGCGCGCCCGGGGCGGGGCGGGGCGGGCCUGCCCAGGGGCCACUGACAGCCGCGGGAGAGAGCGGCUGGUCGCACCUCCGGCCCCGCCGCCCAGCUGCUGACAGCCUCCCGGCCCGCCGGUCCAUGCUGGUCCCGGUCUUUGUUCUGGGGCCGGCGCCGAGACAUGCGCGGCUGACGAUGGAGGUGGAGGACUCGGGCGGCGUGGUGCUGACCGCCUACCACUCGUACGCCCGCGCCCAGCCCCCCAACGCAGAGUCGCGCUGCGCGCCCCGGGCCGCCGCCAGCCACCCGCUCAGCAGAAAAUCCAUUCCUCGCUGCCGAAGAAUUAACAGGAUGCUCUCCAAUGAAUCCCUCCAUCCUCCUGCCUUCAGCCGUUCCAACUCAGAAGCCUCCGUAGACAGCGCCUCCAUGGAGGAUUUCUGGCGGGAAAUAGAAAGUAUUAAAGAGAGCAGCAUGGGAGGGCAAGAAGAGCCACCGCCAGCUGAGGUCACACCUGUGGAUGAAGGAGAACUUGAAGCAGAGUGGCUGCAAGAUGUGGGUUUAUCAACUCUGAUCUCAGGUGAUGAAGAGGAAGAUGGCAAAGCCUUGCUCUCUACAUUGACUCGAACCCAAGCAGCUGCCGUGGAAAAGAGAUACAAUACCUAUACCCAGACCAUGAGGAAAAAGAAUAAGCAAUCUAUCAGGGAUGUCAGAGACAUUUUUGGAGUCAGGGAAUCUCCU